GAAGACAACAACUAUUAUAGAAUCACCAGCAUUACCCCCAACCAGUACUGCUUAAGCAUAGCCUGACAGAUUAGCAAUUAAACACAGGAAAAGAUGACAGAUGUUUAAUGAAAAACAAAUGAAAGCUAGAAAGCACCCGAACACCAGACUUCAUUGUUGCUCCCGAUUGA